GGAAAUGCAAUUCCCGACAGCUUAUAGUGAAUCAGGGUCCAAGAAACACAAUUUGGUUUUUGAUGUGCUUGCUCAUGUAUGAAAUGUAGUUUAGUUUUCAACAACAAUGACAAACGUACAGUGUAACAUUUUUUUUCUUCCAAAAAGCAUUUAACUAUUUUGUUCAUAUGUGUUUGUUUGUUUAUAUUUGUAAUGUGUAUCAUAGUAAAGUGUAUACUGACAGUUCUUAAGCACUUGAGCAGCUAACUGAACUUAAACUUAAUUUCAGAGGCGCAACUUUGUUCAUUACUCUGCCCUGACUAAUUUAAAGCCACACACACACACACACACACACACACACACACAGUUCGCACUGUAGUUUACAUAGUUUAGUUUACUGCAGUUCAGCAGCGAAAAGGGGCUGGCUGGAUUCUCUGAGACACUUCAGAGGGAAACCAUUUAACCUGAGAGGCGCGCGACCGUCAGCUUGUCUCGCGCAGUACACUUUCAGUAUUACAAGCUCUCUUCUAGUGUGCGUCACAUCGUUGCGUCUCCUUUCACCCGCAGAUGAAAUAAAGGUCUACCCGAGUCUCAAAAGAGGAUUCAAGAACAAGGAUAAUAUUUUAACCAUAAUGCCAAAAAUGGUUUCAACUGGGGAUUCAAAAGACGUGUCAAAGUCAUCACAGAGCAAUGGACAUCACACAUCACAAAUAUUUCAUUGUUUAACAACCCUCGUAUGUUUCAUGUUGUCGGCGUCUUCGGUGGCAGUUUGUCUGUUUAUGAACGUUAAAACAUCUCAACUUGAGCGUAAAAUUGAGCUUCUGGAGAUGGAGCGACUGUCUGUGAUUGAACCUGUGCACGCGACACUGGAUGCGAACGCGACUCUUCGGGAUGCGAUAGAGAAACUUGUGCAAGAGAGACUCAAAGAGGGUGUGUCGAAAAUUCGCACAGCUCGAGAAGCAGCGCAAGAGUGCUCCUGUCCUCCAGGUUUGUUCCUCUGCAUGAGUCUGGCAUGUUUUUACCUUCUUUUCCCUCUUAAAACGAUCAUCUGAGGCAUGUUUACUCGAUUUUUUUUUUUUUUUUUUUUUUAUCUCAAAAUCUGAACUAUGACGUAAAUUGGGUCAAUAUAAAUGAUGCAGCAGGUGAUUUGCUAGCAUGUGAUGUUGAUAAGAAUGCUCAGCUCAAUAGGGACUUGUCUUUUGAACUGUUUUCAGAUGUACUUUAUCCCACUAAAGCAUUAUGUGUAUAUAUUUUUAUAUUUGAUGUGGAUUUAGAAAGAUUUUUUUCAAUUAAGUGCUUGGAAAGAUGGAAUUAAUCACUGUUGCAUCUUAUCAUUGCAAUCUGCAGUGUCUUUCAAACUUAAGUUUAAUGCCACAGUUAUAACCUAAAGUAUGAAUUUAGAUCCAGAUGAAGAAAAUCAAGUUGAAACUCUGAAAACUCAUAAAAAUCGAAACGAAACGACA
ensembl:lncRNA